ensembl:lncRNA
GCCUUGAACUCACUAGCCCAGGCUGGCUGUGAACUUGUGGUGAUCCAUCUAACUCAUCCUUCCAAGUGCUGAGAUUACGGAAGAGGCCCCUUCUCCUUCCCUCAUGGAGGGAUUGGCUACAAUGUCUGAAUCUUUGGAAAAGAAAGCCCCCUUCUCAAGGUGAAAGGAGUGUUGGGAACUUCUGAGGGCCUGAUCAUUAUUGGGAUUGAACUCGGGACCUUGCACUUGGGACGCAGGUGGCAGCACCACUGAGCUAAAUCCCCAGCCCAGUUUGUAUUCUUUCAAAAAAAUUUUUAUGUGCAUAUAUAUUUUAUCAAGAGCCCCGAUGUUUACUUGUUUAUUUACCAAGGCACUGGGGCCUCACACUUGCUGGGCGAGCAGUCUACCACUAAUACAGAACUACUGAGAGCUACAUGGCCUCAAACUUGUGAUCCUCCUACCUCAGCCUCCUGAGUAGCUGGGAUGCACAG